UACAGUGGAAACUCCCCGACAAAAAGUAGAGUCUCUGCUUUGGGGCCUCCACUGUACUUGUUGUCGCCUGGUCUACAUGCACGAUCUCACUCAAAUAGUUAUACAACUCGCUCUGGGGGCCAAAUAGCAGUGAGCAAGUGAAAUUGCAGUGCGAAGGAAUUUCGAAAAACCAGUUAGAACCAUGGCAACGUUGAGAAUGGGGCUUACAGUCCCGACCCGCCCCCGGCCACCCACAAAAACAGUUAAACAGGUGCAAAAAAGCACACCAAGACGGAGUCGAAAGAGCGGGAAGAGAGCGGUGGAAAGCUUAGAGGAGAAGAGCAUGGAUCGGAAUCAGUGUGGCCAAAGCCACCGAAGCUGCGUGACAAAACAACAACACGUGAUUAAAGUUUAGAGUCGUAUAACUCCUACAAUAUCCUACAAAAGAUUGAUUUUCCAAAUUAAUGAAAAUUUGAAUAAUAAAAUGUAGCCUAACUGAAACUACCUAUAUACGAAAGCGACCCCUAGAAUACCCCACAAUCUAUCAACGAUUCAUUGGAACGAUCAAAUCUUGUGCAACACGAGACAGUAUUGAAAAUAGUCAUUAUUCGUUCGACAUCAUUAGCACUACUGUGGGAUUCUUGAUAUUUGUAGAUAACAAAAGAACGAAGGCAAACUUUGACGUCACUGUGUUGUUGCUGUGCAGAGCAAACGACGACGACAGCGACAAAUGUGGAGAUCAACAGAUCAGUCACUCGCAGACCGAAACUAAAAAGUAACCAAAAAAGAAAAAAAUAAAACAAAAAGAUCGCUUCGAAAAGACAUUUUCCACCGAACAAACACAGACACGCACACACAUGCACAUGGCAGUUCUAGCUCAUAAUUAAUGACCUAUGGGCUAUGGUCACUCCCAAAGUCAGUUGACCGGAAGUUUCGGUGAGUGAUAGUGUGUGUGUUGGUGCCUUUGGACAGAUCACUGGAAAUAUGGAGGAGGAACUGGACUCCAGGAUGCAGUGCAUCCAGUUCUAGGUUAAAAAUGGAUGCUAUGGUCAUCCAUAGUCAAAGCCAGUUGACCGGAAGUUCCAGCGAAUGAUUGAGUGUGUGUUGGUGCUUUUGGACAAAUCACUGGAUAUGUAUGGAUAGAUACGGAGCUUUUGUUAUAUUUGCUGGAUAUAUGUAUAGAUAUAUAUGGAAAAGUCGUAGUUCAAGACGGCAGAGCAUGGAAAUCUUCUUCAGUUCUAGCUCAUAAUUAAUGACCUAUGGGCUAUGGUCACUCCCAAAGUCAGUUGACCGGAAGUUUCGGUGAGUGAUAGUGUGUGUGUUGGUGCCUUUGGACAGAUCACUGGAAAUAUGGAGGAGGAACUGGACUCCAGGAUGCAGUGCAUCCAGUUCUAGGUUAAAAAUGGAUGCUAUGGUCAUCCAUAGUCAAAGCCAGUUGACCGGAAGUUCCAGCGAAUGAUUGAGUGUGUGUUGGUGCUUUUGGACAAAUCACUGGAUAUGUAUGGAUAGAUACGGAGCUUUUGUUAUAUUUGCUGGAUAUAUGUAUAGAUAUAUAUGGAAAAGUCGUAGUUCAAGACGGCAGAGCAUGGAAAUCUUCUUCAGUUCUAGCUCAUAAUUAAUGACCUAUGGGCUAUGGUCACUCCCAAAGUCAGUUGACCGGAAGUUUCGGUGAGUGAUAGUGUGUGUGUUGGUGCCUUUGGACAGAUCACUGGAAAUAUGGAGGAGGAACUGGACUCCAGGAUGCAGUGCAUCCAGUUCUAGGUUAAAAAUGGAUGCUAUGGUCAUCCAUAGUCAAAGCCAGUUGACCGGAAGUUCCAGCGAAUGAUUGAGUGUGUGUUGGUGCUUUUGGACAAAUCACUGGAUAUGUAUGGAUAGAUACGGAGCUUUUGUUAUGUUUGCUGGAUAUAUGUAUAGAUAUAUAUGGAAAAGUCGUAGUUCAAGACGGCAGAGCAUGGAAAUCUUCUUCAGAUAUGUGAACCACAAAAUUUACCUGUAGAAUAGCCCCAGGAUGUUAAGAGAAGAGUCCCCUGUAAUACAGACCUACACACGAAGUAAUUGUAACCAGAAUGACACAGAAAUAAGUAUAACGACUUUGAGCCACAACGUUAAAAUGGAAGAACAAAAUCGAACAGGAACAGGACUAUCGCCAGCUACCCUCUCAAAAUUAUAUCACACUUAAGGACCCAAAUAAUUUUUACAUGCCCUUAACAUGAAAGCUUCCAGAAGUAGGACCACUCUUAUUAUCCUGAGGAUGAGCUAUUCCAGGUAUCCACACACAAUUGGGGGCUGUGCGAUUUAGGACCUGCGAAUAAAUAUUGAUCUAUGCAUCGAAUUAUAUUAUCAUACCUGCGAAGUCCAGAAGUAUACCUGGUAUUUUUUAAACGUCUAUAUUUAAACAAAAGUCGUCUAUGAAGACGACGUUAUUGUACUGCCACACAACAUUUUACGUGAACCAUAUCGCCGCAAAUGGAAUACCCCAUAUAUCAAAUGCUGUACAGACGUCGACCUAGUUAAAAUAAAUAUGUUUACCACAAAA